rnacentral:misc_RNA from 1 species
GAUGAAGAACGUAGCGAAAUGCGAUAAGUAAUGUGAAUUGCAGAAUUCAGUGAAUCAUCGAAUCUUUGAACGCACAUUGCGCCCGCCAGCAUUCUGGCGAGCAUGCCUGUUCGAGCGUCAUUUCAACCAUCAAGCCCCAGGCUUGUGUUGGAGCCCUGCGGCUGCCGCAGCCUCCCAAAACCAGUGGCGGGCUCGCUAUCACACCGAGUGCAGUAGUUUACUCUUCGCUCAGGGCGUGUGGCGGGUGCUAGCCGUGAAACCCCCAACUUCUCAAGGUUGACCUCGGAUCAGGUAGGAAUACCCGCUGAACUUAAGCAUAUCAAUAAGCGGAGGA